GAGAAACAAAGAUGGGGAAGGUGCAAGCAGGGGAAAAUGUGGGUUGCGGCAGAGGGAAGGAGACCGAUAAGGAGAACAGAACCAGAUGGUGAAACAAGAGGAGCAGAGCUAGGAGAAGACGAGAAGAAAGAAAAACAGUGAGGAAGAAAGAAAAUAGUCAUCAAGAGAAGGGAGGAAGAGAAGAUCCUCACAUCAGAAGGCAAGGGCAGCCUGAGCUAAACAGCUGGCUGGAUUUGCAUGAAAAUGGACUGCCCUUUUUCAUUUGUUUGUUCUUUGGAAAUUACAGUAGGCCUCAAAUGGAAGGAGCAGCCCAGCCUCGGGUUUUGGUGGACGCAGUUUUAUUGACUUCAGUAAAAGGACAAGCUGGUAUGAGACACCUGCGGGCUUCAGUCUCCGUGUCAGCUUCUUCUCUAAGUUCUCAGCCCCCCGAGUCAGCAAGCAAUACAAUUUUUAAACCCACGCAUGCCAUCUUAUAAACAUUAUUUAUCUUUUUUUCUCUUCCCACUACAUUAAUUAUACAGUGUUACAUCCUUGAAACAGAAAUACCCCAGCUACCA